rnacentral:rRNA from 1 species
UUUAUGGAGAGUUUGAUCCUGGCUCAGGAUGAACGCUGGCGGCGUGCCUAAUACAUGUAAGUCGAGCGAACGGACGAGAAGCUUGCUUCUCUGAUGUUAGCGGCGGACGGGUGAGUAACACGUGGAUAACCUACCUAUAAGACUGGGAUAACUUCGGGAAACCGGAGCUAAUACCGGAUAAUAUUUUGAACCGCAUGGUUCAAAAGUGAAAGACGGUCUUGCUGUCACUUAUAGAUGGAUCCGCGCUGCAUUAGCUAGUUGGUAAGGUAACGGCUUACCAAGGCAACGAUGCAUAGCCGACCUGAGAGGGUGAUCGGCCACACUGGAACUGAGACACGGUCCAGACUCCUACGGGAGGCAGCAGUAGGGAAUCUUCCGCAAUGGGCGAAAGCCUGACGGAGCAACGCCGCGUGAGUGAUGAAGGUCUUCGGAUCGUAAAACUCUGUUAUUAGGGAAGAACAUAUGUGUAAGUAACUGUGCACAUCUUGACGGUACCUAAUCAGAAAGCCACGGCUAACUACGUGCCAGCAGCCGCGGUAAUACGUAGGUGGCAAGCGUUAUCCGGAAUUAUUGGGCGUAAAGCGCGCGUAGGCGGUUUUUUAAGUCUGAUGUGAAAGCCCACGGCUCAACCGUGGAGGGUCAUUGGAAACUGGAAAACUUGAGUGCAGAAGAGGAAAGUGGAAUUCCAUGUGUAGCGGUGAAAUGCGCAGAGAUAUGGAGGAACACCAGUGGCGAAGGCGACUUUCUGGUCUGUAACUGACGCUGAUGUGCGAAAGCGUGGGGAUCAAACAGGAUUAGAUACCCUGGUAGUCCACGCCGUAAACGAUGAGUGCUAAGUGUUAGGGGGUUUCCGCCCCUUAGUGCUGCAGCUAACGCAUUAAGCACUCCGCCUGGGGAGUACGACCGCAAGGUUGAAACUCAAAGGAAUUGACGGGGACCCGCACAAGCGGUGGAGCAUGUGGUUUAAUUCGAAGCAACGCGAAGAACCUUACCAAAUCUUGACAUCCUUUGACAACUCUAGAGAUAGAGCCUUCCCCUUCGGGGGACAAAGUGACAGGUGGUGCAUGGUUGUCGUCAGCUCGUGUCGUGAGAUGUUGGGUUAAGUCCCGCAACGAGCGCAACCCUUAAGCUUAGUUGCCAUCAUUAAGUUGGGCACUCUAAGUUGACUGCCGGUGACAAACCGGAGGAAGGUGGGGAUGACGUCAAAUCAUCAUGCCCCUUAUGAUUUGGGCUACACACGUGCUACAAUGGACAAUACAAAGGGCAGCGAAACCGCGAGGUCAAGCAAAUCCCAUAAAGUUGUUCUCAGUUCGGAUUGUAGUCUGCAACUCGACUACAUGAAGCUGGAAUCGCUAGUAAUCGUAGAUCAGCAUGCUACGGUGAAUACGUUCCCGGGUCUUGUACACACCGCCCGUCACACCACGAGAGUUUGUAACACCCGAAGCCGGUGGAGUAACCUUUUAGGAGCUAGCCGUCGAAGGUGGGACAAAUGAUUGGGGUGAAGUCGUAACAAGGUAGCCGUAUCGGAAGGUGCGGCUGGAUCACCUCCUUUCU